AAGAGACAGAUUGCUUCCUUUCUCUGCUCUCUGCCAUAUGAAGAUACAAGGAGAAGUUAGCAGUCGGCAAUCCAGAAGAAAGCUCUCCCCAGAACUCGACGUGCUGGCACCCUGAUCACAGACUUCCAGAUUCCAGAACUGUGAGAAACAAAUUCCUAUCGUUUAUAAGCUACUCAGUUGAUAAGCUACCCAGUACUUUCUUAUAGCAGCCAGAACUGACCAAGACAGUGAGCAUGUGAGUUUGGGGCAUCCUGGAGCCACCUUGAGACUCCAUGAGAGUGAAAUGGAACUGCAGCUCUGCCACGCUCAUGUCUCCGGGGAUGUCCAUGCUCUUUCCUGUGUGUCUUUAUUUAAAUUUUGAAAAUGACAUCAGAACAGAGCACAUUGUCACCUAAAGUCCUGCUGACACGCAUGAAGAUGUGCCUGCAUACACAUUCUGGGACUUUAGUGAUGGAUAUUCAUCAAUAACUUUUGGAGAGAAAUCAGAGGGGAAAAAUAACAAUAAUUGGAAGUUUAGACCUGGACAUGCAUUUCAACGGACAGAACAGUUUCAAAUGUCAGUUCAACUCAAUUUAACAAACAUUUACUUUGAACCGAAUAAACAAAACCGAGGCGAUAAGAGGCUUCACAGAGAAAGAGACUUGACUUUGGGAUUAGAAGAUGAUUUGAAACCAUCUAAUCACUUUUUCUCUGCUAUCCUCAUUGCCCGAAAUAGGCUCUCCUCUCCUCUUUAAGGGAUUGCUGUGACAGCCUCAAAGUGAUCUUUAAAAUGCAGUAUAAUACAGGGUCUUUCUUUUUUCUCCACGCUAUUAUCCACAGCUCAAAAUCGCAAAAUAUAGGCAUGUUAAAAUGACAUUAAAUUAUUUAAAUCAUUUUUAAAAAACAGAGAAAAUGGUGUCAUGAACUGGAGCGGCUAUGCCUAUAUACAAGAUGAGGAAAUUGAGGGCCAGAUGCCCUUGUUCCUUCAACUCAGAUGUGGCAGAGACAGAAGUUAAGUCCACGUUUCCCCAGAUCCCUCCAUUUCCAGACCACACGCUUCUUCCAUCCUCCAAUGCUGUUUUGUGUGCUUCCUGAUUACUCUCUGCUCCUCUUUCACCCACUGAAUGUAAAUUGCUGUAAUUUUUAAAUGUUUAUUGCACAGGUAUUUAGAAAAUUAUAGCCUCUGUUAAGAUUUUUUUGAUAUCUAUAUCUCACUCAUAUACAAGGAACUGAUUCUCUGAAGUACAUGUGAAAAACAACUGUGUCGUUUGAAGUCGUGAUGCAAAGUAAGAUC
rnacentral:lncRNA from 1 species